GUAACGUCUGGUUCAGGGUUGUUAAUGAAUUUCUACAGUGUGGCCUACUCUACACUGUUUGUCGAAUGGUCAUUGUCAAAUAUUGUGAUAAUUCCCAUUUUAGUUUAAGAAUAAUACAUGCAACAUGAUGUUAAUGUUGAACGACAUUAAUGUCCCUGUAUGAUGUGAACGUGUUGUCACUGUUUGAAUGUACUCAGUGAAUUUGAGAUUGAUUUAAACAGGGACAUGUAUGACAAUAAUGUUCAAUUAUCAUUUGUAUUGCAACCUGAACUCAGGCGUGAUUACCCGCUGAACUUAAGCAUAUCAUUUAGCGGAGGAAAAGAAACUAAAU
rnacentral:rRNA from 1 species